rnacentral:rRNA from 1 species
CCUACGGGUGGCAGCAGUGGGGAAUAUUGCACAAUGGGCGAAAGCCUGAUGCAGCGACGCCGCGUGAGGGAAGACGGUUCUCGGUUUGUAAACCUCUAUCAAUAGGGAAGAAAGAAAUGCCGUUCCUGACUUAUGAAGCCCCGCCUACCUACGUGCCAGCAGCCGCGGUAAUACGUAGGGGGCAAGCGUUAUCCGGAAUUACUGGGUGUAAAGGGAGAGUAGGUGGCAAGGUAAUCGAGUAGUGAAAGCCUUAAGCGUAACUUAAGGAUUGCAUAACGAACUUUCUAGCUAGAGUACAGGAGAGGAAAGCGGAAGUCCUAGUGUAGCGGUGAAAUGCGUAGAUAUUAGGAAGAACACCAGUGGCGAAGGCGGCUUUCUGGACUGAAACUGACGUUGAGGCUCGAAAGCGUGGGGAGCGAACAGGAUUAGAUACCCUUGUAGUC